UAGGGAAUCUUCCACAAUGGGCGAAAGCCUGAUGGAGCAACGCCGCGUGUGUGAUGAAGGGCUUCGGCUCGUAAAACACUGUUGUAAGAGAAGAAUGACAUUGAGAGUAACUGUUCAAUGUGUGACGGUAUCUUACCAGAAAGGAACGGCUAAAUACGUACCAG
rnacentral:rRNA from 1 species